AUACGGAGGAUCCGAGCGUUAUCCGGAUUUAUUGGGUUUAAAGGGUGCGCAGGCGGCCAUUUAAGUCAGCGGUUAAAUCGUGGGGCUCAACCCCAUUCUGCCGUUGAUACUGGGUGGCUUGAUUGCGGUCGAGGUUGGCGGAAUUCGUUGUGUAGCGGUGAAAUGCAUAGAUAUGACGAAGAACACCGAUUGCGUAGGCAGCUGACCAGACCGCAAAUGACGCUCAUGCACGAAAGUGCGGGGAUCGAACAGGAUUAGAUACCCUGGUAGUCCGCACAGUAAACGAUGAAUACUUGUUUUCGGCGAUAUAAUGUCGGACGCAAAGCGAAAGCGAUAAGUAUUCCACCUGGGGAGUACGCCGGCAACGGUGAAACUCAAAUGAAUUGACGGGG
rnacentral:rRNA from 1 species